rnacentral:rRNA from 1 species
GACGGACGCUGGCGGCGCGCUUAACACAUGCAAGUCGAACGGAAAGGCCUGCUUUCCCUUGUGGAUUGCGGGUACUCGAGUGGCGAACGGGUGAGUAACACGUGAGUGAUCUGCCCCCAACUUGGGUAUAAGCCUGGGAAACUGGGUCUAAUUCCCGAUAGGACUGCAGGGUGGUGCCUGCGGUGGAAAACGAUUUUCUAGUGGUUGGGGAUGAGCUCGCGGCCUAUCAGCUUGUUGGUGGGGUAAUGGCCUACCAAGGCGGCGACGGGUAGCCGGCCUGAGAGGGUGGACGGCCACAUUGGGACUGAGAUACGGCCCAGACUCCUACGGGAGGCAGCAGUGGGGAAUAUUGCACAAUGGGCGGAAGCCUGAUGCAGCGACGCCGCGUGGGGGAUGACGGCCUUCGGGUUGUAAACUCCUUUCGACCGCGAGGAAGCCACCUGGUUGGAAGGGUGGUGACGGUAGUGGUAGAAGAAGCACCGGCUAACUACGU